rnacentral:rRNA from 1 species
CAGGCCUAACACAUGCAAGUCGAGCGAGAAAGGGGCAACCCCGGUAAAGCGGCGCACGGGUGAGUAACACGUAGGUAAUUUACCCCCAGGUGGUGGAUAACCUUCCGAAAGGAGGGCUAAUACAGCGUAAGACCACGACUCCGCGAGGAGAUGAGGUCAAAGCCGGCCUCUUCAUGAAAGCUGGCGCCAGGGGAUGAGCCUGCGGCCCAUCACGGUAGUUGGUAGGGUAAUGGCCUACCAAGCCUAAGACGGGUAGCUGGUCUGAGAGGAUGAUCAGCCACACUGGAACUGAGACACGGUCCAGACUCCUACGGGAGGCAGCAGUGGGGAAUCUUGCGCAAUGGGCGAAAGCCUGACGCAGCGACGCCGCGUGAGUGAUGAAGGCCUUCGGGUUGUAAAGCUCUGUGGGGAGGGACGAAUAAGUGCUGGCUAACAUCCAGCGCGAUGACGGUACCUCUUUAGCAAGCACCGGCUAACUCUGUGCCAGCAGCCGCGGUAAU